CAACUCGCCCCCAUGAAGUUGGAGUUGCUAGUAAUCGCGAAUCAGCAUGUCGCGGUGAAUGCGUUCCCGGGUCUUGUACACACCGCCCGUCACACCACGGAAGUCGGAAGCACCCGAAGCCAGUUACCGAACCUUAUGGACGGAACUGUCGAAGGUGAAGCCGAUAACUGGGGUGAAGUCGUAACAAGGUAGCCGUAUCGGAAGGUGCGGCUGGAUCACCUCCUUUCUAAGGAG
rnacentral:rRNA from 1 species